rnacentral:rRNA from 1 species
UACGUAGGUGACCAGCGUUGUCCGGAUUUACUGGGCGUAAAGAGCGCGCAGGCGGUCGUUCAAGUCGAGUGUGAAAGCCCCCGGCUCAACUGGGGAGGGUCACUCGAUACUGAUCGACUUGAAGGCAGGAGAGGGAAGCGGAAUUCCCGGUGUAGUGGUGAAAUGCGUAGAUAUCGGGAGGAACACCAGUGGCGAAGGCGGCUUCCUGGCCUGUUCUUGACGCUGAGGCGCGAAAGCUAGGGGGAGCAAACGGGG